AUUGAACGCUGGCGGCAUGCCUAACACAUGCAAGUCGAACGCGUGGCGGACGGGUGAGUAAUGUUUGGGAAACUGCCUGAUGGAGGGGGAUCACUACUGGAAACGGUAGCUAAUACCGCAUACCCUCGGAUGAGCCCAGAUGGGAUUGGCUAGUAGGUGGGGUAAAGGCUCACCUAGGCGACGAUCCCUAGCUGGUCUGAGAGGAUGACCAGCGAAACGGGAACUGAGAAACGGUCGAGACGCCUACGGGAGGAAGCAGUGGGGAAUAUGGCACAAUGGGCUAAAGCCUGAUGCAGCCAUGCCGCGUGUAUGAAGAAGGCUAUCGGGUUGUAAAGUACUUUCAGCGGGGAGGCGUUACCCGCAGAAGAAGCACCGGCUAACUCCGUGCCAGCAGCCGCGGUAAUUC
rnacentral:rRNA from 1 species